GGGAUUGUGGCUCAUCGGUAGAGCGCUCGCCUCGCAUGCGCAGGGCCCUGAGUUUGAUCCUCAGCACCA
rnacentral:tRNA from 1 species